UGUCCAGCAUCCUCCCCCUGAUUCAACUCACCACCAGGUGGUGAUCAGUUGACAGCUUAGCACUUUUCUUCACCCAAGUAUCCAGAGUAUAUGGCAGCAGAUCUGUCUCUACCCCUGGCCAUCACCCAGUAUGCACUUCACCAGUGUGUGAAUGACUGAAUGUAGUGUGAAGCGCUUUGGGGUCCUUAGGGACUAGAAAAGCGCUAUACAAAUGCAGGCCAUUUACCAUUUUUACCAUUCACCUGACCCUUACGGUGACUCCUGCAGGUGGUGGGCCUACAGGAAGGGGGGGGGGGGGGGGGGGGGCAAUGUCCCUUCUUUGGGCUGUGCCUGGUCUAAGGCCAGGCCACCAGGCACUUUCCUUUCCGCGGGAUGAACUAUUCGUUAAAUCUUCUACUCACAGGGGUUUUCCGAAUUGCUGUUUGUAUGGUCUCUUACCCAGGACUUCAUCCCCUGAAAAUUCUUUGCCCCCCGCCAAAAAAAAAGAAAAAAAAGAAUUGUCCCCAUCUUCACCACAUCCACAUUCUCCGACUUGAGAUCAUGGAUAACCAGUUAUCUAACGGAUAUUUUGAACACUUUACACAUCAGUCGCACUCAUGAGAACAUUUACACAUGGACAAGAUGGAGUGUGUGGUUGUAUUUAUGUAGCUCAGAUCAACCCAUAACUAAAUGUUUUCUUCUUAUUGUUCCAGAGUUAUUCCAUGGAAGUUAGAUGAAGCAGUCAGGUUCUUUGGGAAUCUGUUCCGUGCAGCAGCAGAGAGAGAACAGAGGACAGGAGAGAAGAUACUGGAGCUGUUAUCAUCAGUGUGCAGAUAUAAAGGAUUUCCUCUCAAAGGCAAAUGGUGUGAUUUCCUCAUGGACCUGUACUCUUAUGAGACUAAAACAGGCUUGAGUGUCCUUCCAUCAUUACAGUCAGUUUUCCAGUCCACUCCUGCAGUCUGGUCCAUAAACCUUUCAAAGAGAAAGACCUCCAUCCUCCUGGAAGUGCUGAAACACCAACCAGAGAAGAAACAAGUGAAGCUGACAGGCUGCUCACAUGAAGAGAGUGAAGUGAGGAGUUUCCUGCAGUGUCUGCCUUAUAUCUCACAGCUCAGUGUUGAUACUAAGACAUCAGAUGAAGACACAACAAAGUUCUUUGGGAAUCUGUUCUGUGCAGCAGCAGAGAGAGAACAGCAGACAGGAGAGAAGAUACUGGAGUUGUUAUCAUCAGUGUGCAGAUAUCAAACAUUCCCUUUUGGGAACAUGGCUUUGAAUAAAUAUAGAACGAAAUAUCAGUGUAAUUUCCUGCUGGAUCUGUACUCUCAUGUGACUAAAACAGGCUUGAGUGUCCUUCCAUCAUUACAGUCAGUUUUCCAGUCAGCUCCUGCAGUCUGGUUCAUAAACCUCUCAGAGAGAAAGACCUCCAUCCUCCUGGAAGUGCUGAAACUCCAACCAGAGAAGAAACAGGUGGAGCUGACAGGCUGCUCACAUGAAGAGAGUGAAGUGAGGAGUUUCCUGCAGUGUCUGCCUUACAUCUCACAGCUCAGACUGAGUGAGGAGAAUUACCAUCUGCGACCGACUUUCCACUUUCAUUGUCCUCAUUUAGUAAUAUUAAAUAAGAUCUAAAUGGACUGAAUAAAUAAAAAUGGCUCAGCUAUGAACCUAUUAAUCUAUAUUUCUACAUCACCGAGGAAAGACUACUGUCACCUUAAGGGUUCAAAGAGUCAAGUAUAAUAAGCAGUAAUCAAUGAAAAUUCCUUUACUACCACCUGGGACUUUGUGAAGCAUGGCUGGAUGAUGGAUGAACUCAAAAACUUGAGUUAUAAGAUUUCUACAUCAGAAAAGGUCUUUCCCAGAGCUCGUGGCCUUAAAAAUCACCUCUAAAUGCAACCUCCUGUUCACUUUUAUACAUGUUCUCUCAAAACAGUCAGAGGAUUUUACCAUCAAUGUUCAUUCGUCCUGUAGAUUUGACGUCUAUAACUCUGGGACUCAAUUAUAAAAUAAGACUGGGAGACUGCAGCACUGUGGAGACUGAGCUCAGUGCUGACACAAAUAUCCAUUAUCCAUUUGUUUUCUUUGUUGUUCUUUUUUGGGGGGGUGGGGGGUCAGUAUGAUUCUUACUAUUAUCAUUUGUUUGUCAGUUAUUCAUAAAAUAUAUGAAUAAACAAUUAUGCGUUUCAUUUUUCUCAAUUUAUUUUUCAGGACAUUACAGUGACAGUUGUGUGAUCAGUAUAUUUAACAUCUCGUGGUCACAUUGCAUAACUACAUUGUUAUACCUUUUAGUUUUUAACCCUCUGGGGUCCAGGGUAUAAUUGGCCAUUUUUGACUACUUUUGAUUUUAUGUCUAUAUUUCACUUUUAAAACAUGUUUUUCUUGCCUUGUUUGGUAUCAUUAUUUUCAGCA
ensembl:lncRNA